rnacentral:rRNA from 1 species
UACGUAGGGGGCAAGCGUUGUCCGGAAUCAUUGGGCGUAAAGCGCGUGUAGGCGGCCUUGUAAGUCCGUUCUGAAAGCCCGGGGCUCAACCCCGGGAGGCGGAUGGAUACUGCAAGGCUCGAGUCCGGAAGAGGCGAGUGGAAUUCCCGGUGUAGCGGUGAAAUGCGCAGAUAUCGGGAGGAACACCAAUGGCGAAGGCGGCUCUCUGGACCGAGACUGACGCUGAGGCGCGAAAGCGUGGGGAGCAAACAGG